UAUAGAUCGAGGAAUGGGGUUUGUACACGUCACAACGCCUAGCAACGUCGUGAUCUUCAAGAGUCUUGAGCCUGGGUAAUUUUUACGACGUAGAAGACAGCCAAUUGGAGAGUCUUCCUGCGUUACCUAUAUAAAGCGACAGAAGUCUGCCGUAACUGGAGAGUGACUACCCCAUCUCAUCGAGCAUCAUGCUGAAGGAAGCAGCGAUCGUGAUUUGUAUGACCGUCCUUGCGAGUGUGACCGCUGGAUACCCCGGAAAACCUUGGCAUGGCGGCUACCCGCGCCCAGGUGAGCCGGACGUACCAAAGAGUCCCGAAGGAUCAUACGAAGACUUCCGGUACCCAUCUGGACCGAGAGCUCCCAAGCGACCCAGAGCACCACCCGUCGGUGGCCCUCGGUUCCCAGGCCAAGAACCAAGAGCACCGACGCAGCCUGGGGGAUAUGACCGUGGCAUUCCAUACCCACGGGAACCCAGAAGCCCAUAUCCGUAUCCACGUGAACCCAGAGUACCCAGAGUACCCGGAGGGCCAUUCGGUGACCCGACCCGGGGUCAUGGUUGGUGGGGCUGCACGGCUAUUCCUGGGAAUCCACACGGUCCUUGCGACGCAUUUUGCAGAAGCGCCUUUCAACUACGCGGAUACUGCAACUUGCGUACGCACAUGUGCGAGUGUUUGAGAAAUUAAUAAAUACCUGGGCUACGCUGGUA